GUCUAUAGAGACAUCCAAUAAAAUUGAAAUGAUAGAGAAAAGAUUAGUAUGCCCCUGCAUAAGGAUGACAUGCAUAAAUCAAGAAAUAGUCCAAAUGCUU